GAUGAACGCUGGCGGCGUGCCUAAUACAUGCAAGUCGAGCGAACAGACGAGGAUCUUGCUCCUCUGACGUUAGCGGCGGACGGGUGAGUAACACGUGGAUAACCUACCUAUAAGACUGGGAUAACUUCGGGAAACCGGAUCUAAUACCGGAUAACAUGUUGAACCGCAUGGUUCAACAGUGAAAGACGGUUUUGCUGUCACUUAUAGAUGGAUCCGCGUCGCAUUAGCUAGUUGGUAAGGUAACGGCUUACCAAGGCAACGAUGCGUAGCCGACCUGAGAGGGUGAUCGGCCACACUGGAACUGAGACACGGUCCAGACUCCUACGGGAGGCAGCAGUAGGGAAUCUUCCGCAAUGGGCGAAAGCCUGACGGAGCAACGCCGCGUGAGUGAAGAAGGUCUUCGGAUCGUAAAACUCUGUUAUUAGGGAAGAACAAAUGUGUAAGUAACUAUGCACGUCUUGACGGUACCUAAUCAGAAAGACACGGCUAACUACGUG
rnacentral:rRNA from 1 species